GGAAACAGCCCAGACCACCAGCUAAGGUCCCAAAAUAUAUGUUAAGUGGAAAAGGAUGUGGCGUUGCCCAGACAACUAGGAUGUUGGCUUAGAAGCAGCCAUCAUUUAAAGAGUGCGUAAUAGCUCACUAGUCGAGUGACACUGCGCCGAAAAUGUACCGGGGCUAAACAUAUUACCGAAGCUGUGGAUUGUCCUUUGGACAAUGGUAGGAGAGCGUUCUAAGGGCGUUGAAGCAUG
rnacentral:rRNA from 1 species